UGUUCCGUGGUGUAGUGGUGAGCGCUCUGGGCUCUGAAUCCAGCGAUCCAGGUUCAAAUCUCGGUGGAAUAU
rnacentral:tRNA from 1 species